UUUUUAAGAUCUGAGGGGGGAAAAAACCCACAUGUGUUGCCAAAGCUAGUUCUUUCCCUAGAUCUGGUUUUACAAUUUCUGGUAAUAAAC
rnacentral:snoRNA from 1 species